GACGAACGCUGGCGGCGUGCUUAACACAUGCAAGUCGAACGGAAAGGCUCCAGCUUGCUGGAGUACUCGAGUGGCGAACGGGUGAGUAACACGUGGGUAAUCUGCCCUGCACUCUGGGAUAAGCCUGGGAAACUGGGUCUAAUACUGGAUAUGACCUUUCUCCUUAUGGGGUUUGGUGGAAAGUUUUUCGGUGUAGGAUGAGCCCGCGGCCUAUCAGCUUGUUGGUGGGGUGAUGGCCUACCAAGGCGACGACGGGUAGCCGGCCUGAGAGGGUGAUCGGCCACAUUGGGACUGAGAUACGGCCCAGACUCCUACGGGAGGCAGCAGGGGGGAAUAUUGCACAAUGGGCGGAAGCCUGAUGCAGCGACGCCGCGUGAGGGAUGACGGCCUUCGGGUUGUAAACCUCUUUCAGCAGGGACGAAGCGUAAGUGACGGUACCUGCAGAAGAAGCACCGGCUAACUAUGU
rnacentral:rRNA from 1 species